CGUAUGGCAAGCCGUUCUCGUCAAAACUAUGUUUAAACCAUUUUUCGAAAAAUUUACACACUGAGAAUUACAACAAAGCACACUGAGAUUUAAAAACUUCAAACGCACACUGAGAAUUGAAAAUUACACACUGAAAAUUAAAAAUUACACACUGAGAAUUAAAAAUUACACACUGAGAUUUCAUAAAGACGCACUGAGAUUACAAAAAUGAAA
rnacentral:lncRNA from 1 species